rnacentral:rRNA from 1 species
UACGGAAGGCAGCAGUGGGGAAUAUUGCACAAUGGGCGCAAGCCUGAUGCAGCCAUGCCGCGUGUAUGAAGAAGGCCUUCGGGUUGUAAAGUACUUUUCAGCGGGGAGGAAGGCGGUGGAGUUAAUAGCUUCACCGAUUGACGUUACCCGCAGAAGAAGCACCGGCUAACUCCGUGCCAGCAGCCGCGGUAAUACGGAGGGUGCAAGCGUUAAUCGGAAUUACUGGGCGUAAAGCGCACGCAGGCGGUCUGUCAAGUCGGAUGUGAAAUCCCCCGGGCUUAAACCUGGGAACUGCAUUCGAAACUGGCAGGCUAGAGUCUUGUAGAGGGGGUAGAAUUCCAGGUGUAGCGGUGAAAUGCGUAGAGAUCUGGAGGAAUACCGGUGGCGAAGGCGGCCCCUGGACAAAGACUGACGCUCAGGUGCGAAAGCGUGGGGAGCAAACAGGAUUAGAUACC